GAGAUCAUGACCUAAGCCCAAGUCAAGAGCUGACGCUUAACUGACUGAGCCCCCCAGGCACCCCUCCUUAGACUCUCCAAUGUCAUCCACCUUCACUCACAGGCAACCAAGUGAAAUCUUCUCUAUUAUUCUUCUCCUUUACAGAUGGAGAAACUGAGGCCCAGAAAGGUGAGGGUGAGGUGAUCUACCCAAGGACACACAGCUAGAAAGGGGCCCAGACGCACACAUUCAAGUCCAAGCUCUGGGUCGUAGCCUGGUUCCUUUCUGCAAACUCAGGGUGCCCUGCUCCCCCACACCACCGGUCGCCAACCCCCACUACUGCCCAAGACUAGUGCCACCUCUGGGCACAAUCACUCACGAUAUACUGUGAUGACCGAGGAGCCUGUCAUCUGGAUGCCAUUGCAGAAGCCGGAGCAGAGGAUCAGGCUGUCACUAGUCACGUCGCUGAGCUCGAAGGCUGCCCAGCGCAGGCCACUGCCCACGGGCUUCUUGAGUAGGGAGGUCUCUAGGGUGAUAACUCUGGGGUUGGGGCAAUCGGUGCUGCAGUUUACCACGAAGGACCCUCCCGCAGGCCCCACGGGGCGGGGGAGCUCCGCCCUCAGUGAGAACUCCUGGCCCUGGGCACCUGUGGGAACAGAGGGACGCCGCUGCUGGUCCCAGUGCCAGUCCGCCCACCCGCAGCCCGCAUCUUCUACCGCCACCUCCCUGCCUUCACGGUGCUUCUGUCGGGGGGGGGGGGGGGAGAAAGAUGAUUGAUCAGGAGCUAGGGGAAGUCCCCGAGGAAGGCUAGGGGACAUCCUGAGCCAGACUGUAGGAGAAGAGGUGUCAGGGAAGGCUCCCUGAAGGAGGGGACAGACAGGGCCAGUUCGGAAGGGAAAGUAGGAAUUGAUUAUCUGAGUGAAGGGAAGUGAUCCUGGCGGAGGCAAAAGGAGAGACGGGUCCAGGAAGGGACUGUGUGUGUUUGUGUGUGUGUGUGUGUGUGUGUGUGUGUGUGUGUUGGGGGAAGGGGACAAGGCACAUGCAGGGCAGCCCUGAAGGCUAAGUUAAGGAAGCUGUAACUUUCUGUUGAGGCCGCUGAUGAGCCCGUCAGGUGGGAGUUUAAGGAAGUGUUGAGGCAGCCAGGCCACAGGAUGUGGGGAGCUUUGCUUUCUCCAUCCCCUCCCCCCGCAGCGAGCCCCCAACUCCAGCCCUCCCCAGUCUGACUCGCCUCACCUGGGGGCAGCAGACAGCAGACCAGGAGCAGGGAGCUGAGCAGCAGCCCCGCAGGCGACAUGGUGGCUGACCUACAGAAGGAAGUGCCUCAAUGAGGGACAGGCCAGUCAGGAGCAGGCGGGGCACCCCUGCGACGGAAGCUCGGCCGCGGGGGUGAAAAUUACAGAAGUCCGGGGGCUGCUCUGCCCUGACCCGGGGAAAGGCGGGGGAGAUGUUCAGUGGCCCAGAGGGUCCAGAGUGGGGGACCUAGCGACGUGGAGGGUGCUGAUGAGUCUGGACUGGGCAAGACCUGACUUCACACCCCUGGCCUCUCAAUGCACUGACAGGAAAUGCUAACAGGCUUUGUUCUCAGCACAAGGAAGCCUGGGGUGCCGUGGAGGAGGUGAUGAGACACCUCCUUCCUGCUGAACCUGGGUGAAGGGGGGGGUGUCCUGUCUCCAGAGAGGAAGCUAACAGGGGAUCUCCUGACACACUCUGUCCUUAAGGUGAGAAGGUGGGGUUUCAAGGCACCAUUUCAAGAUGACAGUGGGGGGACCUCUAGGCAGGGUCCAAAAGCAUAGUGUGAGAUCUCAUUAUUUCUUGGGAGGGAGCAAAUAAGAGAUUUGGGGGUGAUAAUUGAGGGACCCCCUAAGAUGAGGAAAGACACGAGAAAGGACAAGCCUCCCUGUGUCGGGGCCUUGUGCCCGGCUGUGUUGACUGUCAGACACCCCAUUCCCUGUGCCGUGCUGAGGCGGGCUGCUUGGGGUACAGCUGAGUCCUGAGUCAGCAUCUGUCGAGGACGCUGCUUGUAACUGGCCCUUACCCCUGCCCUCAACCCCCCUUGCCCACCCCUGCAGGCAGCUGGUUUCUCCAUCCCAAGGGGCUGGGGGGUCGGAGGGGAGGGACACUAGUACUUCCAUUUGCUCCAUCUCUCCAGCGUCUCCUUCCUUCCCUCGUGCCCCUGAUCAGAGCUCCACAGAAGGACUGGCUGAGGCCCUUGAUAGCAUCCAGCACCCCCCCCACUCCCCCCAUCCUGAGACCACGCCCCCUCCCCCCUCAGCUGAAGCAUCUCCCCCCUCCAGUCGGUCCCCCCCACCUCCCAAUCUGUUUCCCACCAAGUCCAGCGAGAUUGACUAAAAGCAAAUUCAAAAGUA